UACAGGGGGGGCAAGCGUUGUUCGGAAUUACUGGGCGUAAAGGGCUAGUAGGCGGCCGAUUAAGUCCGACGUGAAAUCCCCAGGCUUAACCUGGGAACUGCGUCGGAUACUGAUUGGCUUGAAUCCGGGAGAGGGAUGCGGAAUUCCGGGUGUAGCGGUGAAAUGCGUAGAUAUCUGGAGGAACACCGGUGGCGAAGGCGGCAUACUGGUCCACUUCUGACGCUGAGGCGCGAAAGCCAGGGGAGCAAACGGG
rnacentral:rRNA from 1 species